GCUGGAGUAGCUCAGGUGGUAGAGCAACUGUUUCGUAAAUAGUAGGUCGAGAGUUCGAAUCUCUCCUCCAGCU
rnacentral:tRNA from 1 species